rnacentral:rRNA from 1 species
CACGCCGUAAACGAUGAAUACUAGGUGUUGGGGGACAAAGUCCUUCGGUGCCGUCGCAAACGCAAUAAGUAUUCCACCUGGGGAGUACGUUCGCAAGAAUGAAACUCAAAGGAAUUGACG